GAUGAACGCUGGCGGUGUGCCUAAUACAUGCAAGUCGAGCGAACAGACGAGGAGCUUACUCCUCUGACGUUAGCGGCGGACGGGUGAGUAACACGUGGAUAACCUACCUAUAAGACUGGGAUAACUUCGGGAAACCGGAGCUAAUACCGGAUAACAUGUUGAACCGCGUGGUUCAACAGUGAAAGACGGUCUUGCUGUCACUUAUAGAUGGAUCCGCGUCGCAUUAGCUAGUUGGUAAGGUAACGGCUUACCAAGGCAACGAUGCGUAGCCGACCUGAGAGGGUGAUCGGCCACACUGGAACUGAGACACGGUCCAGACUCCUACGGGAGGCAGCAGUAGGGAAUCUUCCGCAAUGGGCGAAAGCCUGACGGAGCAACGCCGCGUGAGUGAAGAAGGUCUUCGGAUCGUAAAACUCUGUUAUUAGGGAAGAACAAAUGUGUAAGUAACUAUGCACGUCUUGACGGUACCUAAUCAGAAAGCCACGGCUAACUACGUG
rnacentral:rRNA from 1 species